AUGGCCUCCCCGCAAUCCUCCUACGGCUCAUCCGAGGAAGGCACCUCCUCCGACGGUUCUGACCACCAAGAGGUGGACAAGCUGCCUUUAAACCAAGCUUUGGCGCACCACGACUCCUCCAACGGAGAAGAAUCAGAGGAGGAGGAGACGGGGGAUAAAGAAGAAUCGGAGGAGGAGAAUGUGCUGCCCGACGACAAUAACCUCCACCCGCCACCACUGCAAGGCGACACGGUCCCAGAUUCCGAAUCUGAGUCCGACAAGUCGCCGCGCAGGUCCCAGCCCAAGAGGAAGGCCGUGGAUUCCGAACCUGUCGAGCCCAAGAGGACGAGGAUGGCCGAGUCGCCGCAGCCGAGGAUGCAAUCUGAGGUCGCUGAAGUUGCUCAGAUUCAACCUGAGGUCGCUGAGCAUGCUCUGACUAAGAGCGAUGUGGAGAAGCUAUUCCAAGACAAGAUCGUUUCUUAUGAGCACCUUGGGCAAGAGGUGUUGGCCCUAGAGAAGAAAUAUCCUGGAUUUUUCAAGUCUCCCUUCGUGAAGCUUCCUGAAGAGAAGGCCAGGACACUCAAUGCCAAACUUCAGAACCACCACAUUGCAAAAAUAAAGGCAUCGAUACAGCUGGGUAAUAUCAGAAAGGAGGUGACAAACUCCCUCAUCAAUUUACUCGACUGA
rnacentral:rRNA from 1 species